GGGUAAACUGCAGCUCCUCAGAACAAAUGUGAAUGUCAGAAGCCCCUGGGAGAGAUGAGAUUACCCAAAGGUUAGGUCCAAAAACAAAGCUUCAGUGUGUUGAGCAUGCCAGAAAACUUCUUUUCAAAACAGACCUCAUGUGAUUCUUGCUUAUGGAAAUGGAAUGACACAUUGGGAAGCUAAAAUAACAACUGCCAACAUGUGAGGAAAUACUUCAACUCUCAUGGAAAUAAGUAGGGAAAGUAAUCAUAGCUUCUUACUCAUUUUUGCCUGCAGAGGAAGGAGACCAACUUUUCUUUGAAGACUAUUCAUACUGUAAUUGAACCAUGGUAAUUACUAUGCAAACAAUACCUACUUUAGCUUCAGGAAAUUUAUGAUUUCAUUAUUUGUUUUCUUGUUUGUUUCCCACUGCCUGCAAAUCAGUGGCUAGAUAAAGAUUAGUCUGGUGAACCCUUUGAUAGUUUGGUCAAUAC